ensembl:snRNA U6 U6 spliceosomal RNA
GUGUUGCAGCUUGUAACACACGUACUAAACUGGGAACGAUACAGAGAAGAUUAGCAUGGCCCCUGGCGCAAGGAUGACACGCACAAUCGUGAAGCGUUCUCACUUUUC